rnacentral:rRNA from 1 species
CGCCAGACUCCUACGGGAGGCAGCAGUGAGGAAUAUUGGUCAAUGGACGCAAGUCUGAACCAGCCAUGCCGCGUGCAGGAAGACGGCUCUAUGAGUUGUAAACUGCUUUUGUACGAGGGUAAAUCCCGAUACGUGUAUCGGGUUGAAAGUAUCGUACGAAUAAGGAUCGGCUAACUCCGUGCCAGCAGCCGCGGUAAUACGGAGGAUUCAAGCGUUAUCCGGAUUUAUUGGGUUUAAAGGGUGCGUAGACGGAGUUUUAAGUCAGCGAAAAACGCCGGGGGCCAAACCCCGGCGAGCCGUUGAAACUGGCUGUCUUGAGAUGUCGAGAGGUAUGCGGAAUGCGCAGUGUAGCGGUGAAAUGCUUAGAUAUUGCGCAGAACUCCGAUUGCGAAGGCAGCAUACCGGCGGCGAUCUGACGCUGAGGCACGAAAGCGUGGGUAUCGAACAGGAUUAGAUACCCCUGUA